UACGGUGAUAUCACGUUAAAAUGCUGGUUCCCGUACGAUUAACGAAGUUAAGCAACGUCGAGCUUGGUCAGUACUUAAAUGGGUGUCCGCUUGUGAAUACUAGGCGCUGUAA